GAACGCACAUUGCGCCUUAUGGUAGUCCGUAAGGCAUGCCUGUUCGAACGUCAUCAAACCCCCUCGAGUCCCCCGGCUUUGCGGCCAAGGGAACCUCGGUCGUGCCCGUGGCGGAUCGGUCCUCUCCGGUCCUCCUGGGCGAAAUGCAUUGUUGCUGAUCCGCGGGUCGCCAAAGCGUAGUAGGCCUAAACAGCUCUCGCCUGGCAUCAGACCUGGCAGGCGUCAUGCCAUCGUAACCCAAUUCCAAUCAGAGUUUGACUUCGGAUCAGGUAGGGAUACCCGCUGAACUUAAG
rnacentral:misc_RNA from 1 species